rnacentral:rRNA from 1 species
UACGUAGGGACCAAGCGUUGUUCGGAUUUACUGGGCGUAAAGGGCGCGUAGGCGGCAAUUCAAGUCAUCUGUGAAAUCUCCGGGCUUAACUCGGAGCGGUCAAGUGAUACUGUCGUGCUAGAGUGCGGAAGGGGCUACUGGAAUUCUCGGUGUAGCGGUGAAAUGCGUAGAUAUCGAGAGGAACACCUGCGGCGAAGGCGGGUAGCUGGGCCGACACUGACGCUGAAGCGCGAAAGCCAGGGGAGCAAACGGG